AUGAUCUUGUGUGGAAAGCUCCGGCGGUGCAGGAUGAGCCCGCGGCCUAUCAGCUAGUUGGUGAGGUAAUGGCUCACCAAGGCGACGACGGGUAGCCGGCCUGAGAGGGCGACCGGCCACACUGGGACUGAGACACGGCCCAGACUCCUACGGGAGGCAGCAGUGGGGAAUAUUGCACAAUGGGCGAAAGCCUGAUGCAGCGACGCCGCGUGAGGGAUGACGGCCUUCGGGUUGUAAACCUCUUUCAGCAGGGAAGAAGCGAAAGUGACGGUACCUGCAGAAGAAGCGCCGGCUAACUACGUGCCAGCAGCCGCGGUAAUACGUAGGGCGCGAGCGUUGUCCGGAAUUAUUGGGCGUAAAGAGCUCGUAGGCGGCUUGUCACGUCGGUUGUGAAAGCCCGGGGCUUAACCCCGGGUCUGCAGUCGAUACGGGCAGGCUAGAGUUCGGUAGGGGAGAUCGGAAUUCCUGGUGUAGCGGUGAAAUGCGCAGAUAUCAGGAGGAACACCGGUGGCGAAGGCGGAUCUCUGGGCCGAUACUGACGCUGAGGAGCGAAAGCGUGGGGAGCGAACAGGAUUAGAUACCCUGGUAGUCCACGCCGUAAACGGUGGGCACUAGGUGUGGGCGACAU
rnacentral:rRNA from 1 species